rnacentral:rRNA from 1 species
UACACUCCUGCGGGAGGCAGCAGUGGGGAAUUUUGGACAAUGGGCGAAAGCCUGAUCCAGCCAUGCCGCGUGCAGGAUGAAGGCCUUCGGGUUGUAAACUGCUUUUGUACGGAACGAAACGGCCUUUUCUAAUAAAGAGGGCUAAUGACGGUACCGUAAGAAUAAGCACCGGCUAACUACGUGCCAGCAGCCGCGGUAAUACGUAGGGUGCAAGCGUUAAUCGGAAUUACUGGGCGUAAAGCGUGCGCAGGCGGUUAUGUAAGACAGUUGUGAAAUCCCCGGGCUCAACCUGGGAACUGCAUCUGUGACUGCAUAGCUAGAGUACGGUAGAGGGGGAUGGAAUUCCGCGUGUAGCAGUGAAAUGCGUAGAUAUGCGGAGGAACACCGAUGGCGAAGGCAAUCCCCUGGACCUGUACUGACGCUCAUGCACGAAAGCGUGGGGAGCAAACAGGAUUAGAUACCCUGGUAGUCCCA